rnacentral:rRNA from 1 species
UACGGGGGGGUGCGAGCGUUGUCCGGAAUUAUUGGGCGUAAAGCGCACGUAGGCGGCUUGGCAAGUCGGAUGUGAAAUCCCUCGGCUCAACCAAGGAAGUGCAUCCGAAACUGCUGAGCUUGAGUACUUAAGAGGAUCGCGGAAUUCCCGGUGUAGAGGUGAAAUUCGUAGAUAUCGGGAGGAACACCAGUGGCGAAGGCGGCGAUCUGGGAAGAUACUGACGCUGAGGUGCGAAAGCCAGGGGAGCGAACGG